UUAAGCGACUAAGCGUACACGGUGGAUGCCCUGGCAGUCAGAGGCGAUGAAGGACGUGCUAAUCUGCGAAAAGCGUCGGUAAGGUGAUAUGAACCGUUACAGCCGGCGAUGUCCGAAUGGGGAAACCCAGUGCAAUUCGUUGCACUAUCGUUAACUGAAUACAUAGGUUAACGAGGCGAACCGGGGGAACUGAAACAUCUAAGUACCCCGAGGAAAAGAAAUCAACCGAGAUUCCCCCAGUAGCGGCGAGCGAACGGGGAGCAGCCCAGAGUCUGAAUCAGCUUGUGUGUUAGUGGAACGGUCUGGAAAGUCCGACGGUACAGGGUGAUAGUCCCGUACACCAAAAUGCACAGGCUGUGAACUCGAAGAGUAGGGCGGGACACGUGGUAUCCUGUCUGAAUAUGGGGGGACCAUCCUCCAAGGCUAAAUACUCCUGACUGACCGAUAGUGAACCAGUACCGUGAGGGAAAGGCGAAAAGAACCCCGGCGAGGGGAGUGAAAAAGAACCUGAAACCGUGUACGUACAAGCAGUGGGAGCACCUUCGGGUGUGACUGCGUACCUUUUGUAUAAUGGGUCAGCGACUUAUAUUCUGUAGCAAGGUUAACCGUAUAGGGGAGCCGCAGGGAAACCGAGUCUUAACUGGGCGUUAAGUUGCAGGGUAUAGACCCGAAACCCGGUGAUCUAGCCAUGGGCAGGUUGAAGGUUGGGUAACACUAACUGGAGGACCGAACCGACUAAUGUUGAAAAAUUAGCGGAUGACUUGUGGCUGGGGGUGAAAGGCCAAUCAAACCGGGAGAUAGCUGGUUCUCCCCGAAAGCUAUUUAGGUAGCGCCUCGUGAAUUCAUCUUCGGGGGUAGAGCACUGUUUCGGCUAGGGGGUCAUCCCGACUUACCAACCCGAUGCAAACUACGAAUACCGAAGAAUGUUAUCACGGGAGACACACGGCGGGUGCUAACGUCCGUCGUGAAGAGGGAAACAACCCAGACCGCCAGCUAAGGUCCCAAAGUCAUGGUUAAGUGGGAAACGAUGUGGGAAGGCACAGACAGCCAGGAUGUUGGCUUAGAAGCAGCCAUCAUUUAAAGAAAGCGUAAUAGCUCACUGGUCGAGUCGGCCUGCGCGGAAGAUGUAACGGGGCUAAACCAUGCACCGAAGCUGCGGCAGCGACACUAUGUGUUGUUGGGUAGGGGAGCGUUCUGUAAGCCUGCGAAGGUGUGCUGUGAGGCAUGCUGGAGGUAUCAGAAGUGCGAAUGCUGACAUAAGUAACGAUAAAGCGGGUGAAAAGCCCGCUCGCCGGAAGACCAAGGGUUCCUGUCCAACGUUAAUCGGGGCAGGGUGAGUCGACCCCUAAGGCGAGGCCGAAAGGCGUAGUCGAUGGGAAACAGGUUAAUAUUCCUGUACUUGGUGUUACUGCGAAGGGGGGACGGAGAAGGCUAUGUUAGCCGGGCGACGGUUGUCCCGGUUUAAGCAUGUAGGCUGGUUGUCCAGGCAAAUCCGGAUAAUCAAGGCUGAGGUGUGAUGACGAGGUACUACGGUGCUGAAGUAACAAAUGCCCUGCUUCCAGGAAAAGCCUCUAAGCAUCAGGUAACAUCAAAUCGUACCCCAAACCGACACAGGUGGUCAGGUAGAGAAUACCAAGGCGCUUGAGAGAACUCGGGUGAAGGAACUAGGCAAAAUGGUGCCGUAACUUCGGGAGAAGGCACGCUGGUGUGUAGGUGAAGUCCCUGCGGAUGGAGCUGAGACCAGUCGAAGAUACCAGCUGGCUGCAACUGUUUAUUAAAAACACAGCACUGUGCAAACACGAAAGUGGACGUAUACGGUGUGACGCCUGCCCGGUGCCGGAAGGUUAAUUGAUGGGGUUAUCCGUAAGGAGAAGCUCUUGAUCGAAGCCCCGGUAAACGGCGGCCGUAACUAUAACGGUCCUAAGGUAGCGAAAUUCCUUGUCGGGUAAGUUCCGACCUGCACGAAUGGCGUAAUGAUGGCCAGGCUGUCUCCACCCGAGACUCAGUGAAAUUGAACUCGCUGUGAAGAUGCAGUGUACCCGCGGCAAGACGGAAAGACCCCGUGAACCUUUACUAUAGCUUGACACUGAACAUUGAGCCUUGAUGUGUAGGAUAGGUGGGAGGCUUUGAAGCGUGGACGCCAGUCUGCGUGGAGCCAACCUUGAAAUACCACCCUUUAAUGUUUGAUGUUCUAACGUUGGCCCCUGACCGGGGUUGCGGACAGUGUCUGGUGGGUAGUUUGACUGGGGCGGUCUCCUCCCAAAGCGUAACGGAGGAGCACGAAGGUUAGCUAAUCCUGGUCGGACAUCAGGAGGUUAGUGCAAUGGCAUAAGCUAGCUUGACUGCGAGCGUGACGGCGCGAGCAGGUGCGAAAGCAGGUCAUAGUGAUCCGGUGGUUCUGAAUGGAAGGGCCAUCGCUCAACGGAUAAAAGGUACUCCGGGGAUAACAGGCUGAUACCGCCCAAGAGUUCAUAUCGACGGCGGUGUUUGGCACCUCGAUGUCGGCUCAUCACAUCCUGGGGCUGAAGUAGGUCCCAAGGGUAUGGCUGUUCGCCAUUUAAAGUGGUACGCGAGCUGGGUUUAGAACGUCGUGAGACAGUUCGGUCCCUAUCUGCCGUGGGCGCUGGAGAAUUGAGGGGGGCUGCUCCUAGUACGAGAGGACCGGAGUGGACGCAUCACUGGUGUUCGGGUUGUCAUGCCAAUGGCACUGCCCGGUAGCUAAAUGCGGAAGAGAUAAGUGCUGAAAGCAUCUAAGCACGAAACUUGCCCCGAGAUGAGUUCUCCCUGAGACUUUAAGUCUCCUGAAGGAACGUUAAAGACGAUGACGUUGAUAGGCCGGGUGUGUAAGCGCAGCGAUGCGUUGAGCUAACCGGUACUAAUGAACCGUGAGGCUUAACCUU
rnacentral:rRNA from 1 species